AACACAAAAACUUAACCUCCAACCUUGACACAUCUCUGCAUGUCCAAAUACUUCCCUCCCUCUCUCAUCUCAUCUUUCCUAAAUAUACAUCGCUUUUCUCGGCAAUCGAAAUUGUAGAAACGUUUCUGAAACGAUGCAGUCAGUAAGGACCCGCCGCAAAGUGGCUCCAGCCACCGCAAACGGCGGUGACUCAGCCGAGAAAUUGGACCAACUUCUCCUCUCAUCCGCCAUCUGCAACGGCGAAGACUUAGGGUCGUUUGUUCGCAAAGCCUUUGCAUCAGGAAAGCCCGAGACACUCCUCCACCAUUUGCGCCAGUUCGCCCGAUCCAAAGAAUCCGAAAUCGAGGAAGUCUGCAAGGCCCACUACCAAGACUUCAUCAUGGCCGUUGAUGAUCUCCGAUCUCUGCUCUCUGAUGUCGAUUCGCUCAAAUCGGCUCUCUCCGAUUCAAACUCAAAACUCCAGUCUGUAGCUGGUCCGCUCCUAUCCUCACUUGACUCGUACGUAGAAGCGCAAAAUAUUUCGAAAAAUGUUGACUUAGCGCUGAAAUCAAUUGUGUCUUGUAUGAAACUGAUGGAGCUUUGUUCACGAGCAAAUCAUCAUCUUUCAAGCAACAACUUUUACAUGGCUUUGAAGUGCACAAAUGCAAUGGAGAAUGAGUUCUUAGAUAAAACGCCUUCGUCUACUUUAAAAAGAAUGUUAGAAAAGAAAAUUCCAGCGAUUAGAACAUAUAUCGAGAGAAAGGUAAACAAGGAGUUUGGUGAUUGGCUAGUUGAGAUCCGUGUAGUAUGUCGAAAUUUAGGUCAAUUAGCAAUCGGUCAAGCUUCUUCGGCGAGGCAACGAGAAGAGGAUUUACGAAUCAAGCAGAGACAAGCUGAGGAACAGAGUCGGCUCAGUUUGCGUGACUGCGUUUACGCUUUACACGAGGAUGACGAAGAUGGAUUUAACAACGGUGUUGAAAGUGAUAGUAACGGUGUCUCUGGUCUGUUAGGGUUUGAUUUGACUCCUCUUUAUAGGGCUUAUCAUUUACACCAAACAUUAGGUCUUGAAGAUCGAUUUAAGCAAUAUUAUUUUGAAAAUCGGAAGCUUCAAUUGACGUCUGAUUUUCAGGUAUCCUCAAUGACUCCGUUUUUAGAAUCUCAUCAAACAUUUUUCGCCCAAAUUGCUGGUUUUUUUAUUGUUGAAGAUCGAAUUUUAAGGACCGGUGGUAAUUUGAUAUCUAAAAUUGAAGUUGAGAAUUUGUGGGAUGCAGCUGUUAGUAAAAUGUGUUCAGUACUGGAGGAUCAGUUUUCGAGAAUGCAAACUGCUAAUCAUCUCCUUCUGAUUAAGGAUUAUGUGAGUUUGUUGGGUGUCACAUUGCGCGGAUAUGGGUACCCAGUUGAUGCUUUGCUUGAUGUUUUGAGUAAACAUAGGGAUAAGUAUCACGAGUUAUUGUUGUCAGAUUGUCGUAAACAGAUUGCUGAAGCCCUUGCUGCUGAUAAGUUUGAGCAAAUGUUGAUGAAGAAAGAGUAUGAGUAUUCUAUGAAUGUGCUUUCAUUUCAGAUUCAGACAUCGGAUAUUGUUCCUGCAUUUCCUUAUGUUGCGCCAUUUUCGUCUACGGUGCCUGAUUGUUGUAGGAUUGUGCGGUCCUUCAUUGAGGACUCAGUGAGUUUCAUGUCGCAUGGUGGGCAGCUGGAUUUCUAUGAUGUUGUUAAAAAGUAUUUGGAUAGGCUUUUGGCUGAAGUUUUGGAUGAGGCUCUUAUGAAACUUAUUAAUACAUCUGUUCAUGGGGUUUCUCAGGCAAUGCAAGUUGCAGCUAAUAUGGCUGUUUUAGAGCGCGCUUGCGAUUUUUUCUUUCGUCAUGCUGCACAGCUUUCAGGAAUUCCAUUGAGAAUGGCAGAGAGGAGUAGGAGGCAGUUCCCUCUAAACAAAGCGCGUGAUGCUGCCGAGGACAUGCUGUCUGGGUUGCUUAAAACAAAGGUUGAUGGUUUCAUGACAUUGAUUGAGAAUGUGAACUGGAUGGCUGAUGAUCCCGUACAGAAUGGCAAUGAAUAUGUAAAUGAGGUCAUAAUAUAUUUGGAGACUCUCGUUUCUACUGCACAACAAAUAUUGCCCGCUCAGGUUCUUAGAAGGGUUCUACAAGAUGUUCUUUCUCACAUAUCAGAGACCAUUGUAGGGGCAUUAUAUGGUGAUUCUGUUAAGAGGUUUAAUAUAAAUGCUAUCAUGGGAAUGGAUGUAGAUGUUCGACUUCUGGAGUCUUUUGCUGAUAAUCUAGCUCCCUUGUUCACAGACGGGGAUGCAAAUCAGUUGAAAACAGCUCUUGCUGAGUCAAGGCAGUUGACUAAUUUGUUAUUGAGCAAUCACCCUGAGAAUUUUCUGAAUCCAGUGAUUAGGGAGAGGAGCUACAAUACUUUGGAUUACAGGAAAGUAGUGACAAUAUCAGAGAAGUUGAGGGAUCCUUCAGAUCGGCUGUUUGGAACCUUUGGAAGCAGGGGAGCCAGGCAGAAUCCUAAGAAGAAAUCUCUGGAUGCUAUGAUAAAAAGACUCAGGGAUGUGAGCUGAUUUGGGACGGAGCUUAAUGUAUGAUUCUUGGUCUUUUUCCCUUACCACUGCUGAUUGUGAUUGGCAUAUCUUUUAGAGUUUGAAUGAAGGAUGAUGCAGAUUGCUGUCCUCACCCAUUUGGCGUUAUGUAGACUUCGCCCUUGCUAUAUUUCGAAUUUCUAAUUCAGCCGGUAGCCCAAAAUCUUAAAGAAGGGACCAAAGUUUGAUAAAUCAGUUGUAUAGCAAUAUGUAUAUGAUUAUAACAUAUUCAAGGAAAUGAACACGACCUCUAUUUGUUAUCGAAAUCAACGUUAUGUUGCUUUUCCUUGACCACUGGGCUCAAGGUCACCUAUGACAUGAGUUGAAUUUUACGUUCAAUUUGCAUGUUUGACAAUUUUUGUAGUAAGUUUUCUACCAGAAUUAUCCUCGCUUGACCUGAGGAUCUCCUUUACUGUGAUAUGUAGGUUUCCG